rnacentral:rRNA from 1 species
UACAGGGGGGGCAAGCGUUGUUCGGAAUUACUGGGCGUAAAGGGUCUGUAGGUGGCCAACUAAGUCAUACGUGAAAUCCCUCGGCUUAACCGGGGAACUGCGUCUGAUACUGGAUGGCUUGAGUUCGGGAGAGGGAUGCGGAAUUCCAGGUGUAGCGGUGAAAUGCGUAGAUAUCUGGAGGAACACCGGUGGCGAAGGCGGCAUCCUGGACCGAUACUGACGCUGAGGAGCGAAAGCCAGGGGAGCAAACGGG